ACACUCUCAUUUUGUUGACCAUUUAGUCAUGCAGCGACAAAUGAGUGAAUUAAUUGCUCAAGCUUGAGAAUGAUCC
rnacentral:tRNA from 1 species